CAGAGGUCCCGAGCGUUGUUCGGAUUCACUGGGCGUAAAGGGUGCGUAGGUGGUGAGGUAAGUCGGAUGUGAAAUCUCCGGGCUCAACCCGGAAACUGCAUUGGAAACUACCUUGCUUGAGGUUUUUGAGGGGGGACUGGAAUUCUCGGUGUAGCAGUGAAAUGCGUAGAUAUCGAGAGGAACACCGGUGGCGAAGGCGAGUCCCUGGAAAACACCUGACACUGAGGCACGAAAGCUAGGGGAGCAAACAGGAUUAGAUACCCUGGUAGUCCUAGCCCUAAACGGUGCUUGCUUGCUGUAAGUGGAAUCGACCCCACUUGUGGCGGAGCUAACGCGUUAAGCAAGCCGCCUGGGAAGUACGGUCGCAAGAUUA
rnacentral:rRNA from 1 species